CUGUUCAGACUAGCCAUGCACGUCUAGUACAAACUAAAUGAUGGUGAAACUGCAAAUGGCUCAUUACAACGGUUAUGAUGUACCCGGGAGUUCCGAUGGAUAUUUCCAGUAACACUAGAACUAAUACAUGUCCCUGCGUUUAUUAGUUUCGCACAGUCCGUCGCUGAGUCAUGGUAAACAGUUGAUCGACUCGACGUCCCGGAACAGUUUCCGCCCCAUCAGCUUCGAUGGUUGGGUAUUGGCCUACCAUUGCAACAACGGGUAACGAGGAAUUAGGGUUUGAUUUCGGAGAGGGAGCCUGAGAAACGGCUACCACAUCUACGGAUGGCAGCAGGCGCGCAAAUUACCCAAUGCAGACACUGUGAGGUAGUGACGAGAAAUAAUAAAGCGGGACUUCUGUUUCGCUAUUAUAAUGAGGAAUAACCAAAGGUCAUUCCGAUUAGCAACUGAUGGGAAAGUCUGGUGCCAGCAGCCGCGGUAAUACCAGCGUCAGUAGCAUA
rnacentral:rRNA from 1 species